rnacentral:rRNA from 1 species
UACGAGGGGGGCAAGCGUUGUUCGGAAUUAUUGGGCGUAAAGGGUGCGUAGGCGGUUUUGUAAGUCUUGUGUGAAAUCUUCAGGCUCAACUUGAAGACUGCACGAGAAACUGCAGGGCUUGAGUGUGGGAGAGGUGAGUGGAAUUCCUGGUGUAGCGGUGAAAUGCGUAGAGAUCAGGCAGAACACCUGGGGCGAAGGCGGCCGGCUGGGCCGUCCCUGACGCUGAGGCGCGAAGGCGUGGGGAGCGAACGGG